GACGAACGCUGGCGGCGUGCUUAACACAUGCAAGUCGAACGGAAAGGCCCCCAUCUUGGUGGGGGUGCUCGAGUGGCGAACGGGUGAGUAACACGUGGGUGAUCUGCCCUGUACUUCGGGAUAAGCUUGGGAAACUGGGUCUAAUACCGCAUAGGACCAUGGUUUAGUGUCUCAUGGUGGAAAGAUUAUUGUUUUGGUGCAGGAUGAGCUCGCGGCCUAUCAGCUUGUUGGUGGGGUAAUGGCCUACCAAGGCGUCGACGGGUAGCCGGCCUGAGAGGGUGGACGGCCACAUUGGGACUGAGAUACGGCCCAGACUCCUACGGGAGGCAGCAGUGGGGAAUAUUGCACAAUGGGCGCAAGCCUGAUGCAGCGACGCCGCGUGGGGGAUGACGGCCUUCGGGUUGUAAACUCCUUUCGUUAGGGACGAAGCCGCACUUUUUUUGGGUGUGGUGACGGUACCUUUGUUAAGAAGCACCGGCUAACUACGUG
rnacentral:rRNA from 1 species